GUACCGUAAUUAAUUCCAUGCUGACGCUUAUUAUUUGGUCACAAGAUUGAAGGACUAUGGAGGUUUCCGAAACUGCUUUCAACUCAGCCUGAAGCACAUAUCAAGGAAAUUUGAUUGAAAUGAAUAAAGCUGCUGGACACAGACUCUACUCUAGUCUUGGG